AUGGGGCCCCUCCCCCACUCGGCCGUGGCCAUUUGGGUCCUCCUGGUGGCCACCGGACCCCCCACGGGGGUCACUGAGGGUCAAGUGACCACUGAGGACCACCGAGUGACCACCGAGGAUGGAGUGACCACCACUGACCACCAAGUGACCACUGAGGGCCACCAAAUGACCACCAAAGGCCGAAUGACCACCAACGGCCACCAAAUGACCACUGAGGAUGGAGUGACCACCAAUGGCCACCGAGUGACCACUGAGGGCCACCAAAUGACCACCAAAGGCCGAGUGACCACCCAAGACCACCAAAUGACCACCGAGGGCCACCAAGUGACCACCGAUGACCACCAAAUGACCACUGAUGACCACCGAGUGACCACUGAGGAUGGAGUGACCACCAAUGGCCACCAAGUGACCACUGAGGGCCACCAAGUGACCACUGAUGGCCAAGUGACCACCCAAGACCACCAAAUGACCACCAAUGACCACCAAAUGACCACUGAUGACCACCGAGUGACCACUGAUGGCCACCAAAUGACCACUGAUGACCACCAAAUGACCACCGAUGACCACCGAGUGACCACCCAAGACCACCGAGUGCCCAGCACUGACCGCCGGGUCCUGGUGGCCGCGGUGGCCGCCGGGGGGGUUUUGGUGGCCGCGGUGGCCGCGGGGCUGCGGUGGGGGAGGGGCGGGCGGGGGGAGGGGCGGGGGGGGGAGUGGGCGGGGCCGGCGCCGGUUUGGGGGGUGGGGGAGGGGCCGGGGGGGGUGGGGGAGGGGCCGGUGGGGGUGGGGGAGGGGCCGGUGGGGGAGGGGCUGAUGGGGGUGGGGGAGGGGCCAAUGGGGGUGGGGGAGGGGCCGGUGGGGGUGGGGGAGGGGCUCAGGGUGGGGGAGGGGCUCAGGGUGGGGGAGGGGCUCAGGGUGGGGGAGGGGCUCAGGGUGGGGGAGGGGCGGCCGUUGGUGGCCACGGUGGCCACCGGGCAGGUGGGGGAGGGGCUGAGAACCUUCCGGGGGGCGUUGGGGGUGGGGGAGGGGCGGGAGGGGGGAGGGGACCCCCCCGGGAGCCCCCGAUGAGGAUUUGGGGAAAUUUUGGGGAUUUUUGAGAGAAAUUUGUUUUUUUGGGGGGGAAUUUGGGGAGUUAAAUUGGGAUUUAAAGGGUUAAAUUGGGAUUUUUGGGGGGAUUUUGGGAUUUUUUUGGGGCGAUUUUGGGGGUCGGAGUGGGAUUUAAGGGGUUAAAUUGGGAUAUUUUUUGGGGGAGGGAUUUUGGGAUUUUUUUGGGGCGAUUUUGGGGAAAUUUUGGGGGUUUGGGGAUUUUGGGGGAAUUUUUUGAUUUUGGGGGGGAUUUUGGGGAAUAAAAAAUGAAAAGGAGGAAAAAAAGUUGUGGGGUUGGAGAGAGAGAAAUUGGGGAGAAAAAGGCCGAAAAUGGGAAAAGAGACACAGAAACGGUGAAAAAACUCUGAAAAAUGGGGAAAAAAUCCCAAAAAUUGGGAAAAAUGAAAGUGAAGGGGAAAAAACAACCCCAAAAAUGGGGGAAAAAUUAAAAAAUGGGAAAACAAAACCAAAAUGGGGAAAAAUACCUCCAAAAAUUGGAAUAAAACCCCCAAAAUUGGGAAAAAUCCACCAAAAUGGGGAUAAAACCCCCAAAAUUGGGGAAAAAAACCCCAAAAUUGGGGAAAAAUCCCCCAAAAUGGGAAUAAAACCCCCAAACCCCCUCCCCCACCCCCGCCCCUCCCCCCCCGCCCCUCCCCCACCACGACAACACCAAAAUUUGAGAUUUUUUUUCCUUUUUUUUUUUUUUUUUUUUGGUCUUUUUUUGGAUUUUUUUGUCCAAAAGAGCCCCAAAAGGGGGUGGGGGAGGGGCGGGUCAGUCCGGGGGUGGGGGAGGGGCGGUGGGGGAGGGGUCGGCGAGGCUCGAGCGGCUCCCGGAGCGACCUGGGGGGGGGGGGGGGGGGGUCAGAGGUCAGGGGUCAGGGGUCAAAGGUCAGGGGCGGCCCCAAUCCAACCCCGCCCCUCCCCCACCCCCCAAAAAUUCCCAACCGGGACCCCCAAAU
rnacentral:lncRNA from 1 species